rnacentral:piRNA from 1 species
GCGGCGUGACGAGACUCGCGUGGGAAGA